AAAAGGUUUAAAGGUUUAAGGUGAGGGUUAGGGGAAGGGUUAGAUAACAUGCUAAGUAGUUGCAAAGUAGCUCAAAUGUACUUAAAUGUACAAAAGUGGCUAAUUAGCGAAAGUUGUCCACAAUGAGAUUUGAACACUCAGCCUUUUGGUUGCUAGAUAUUUGCAUUAUACAUAGUGCACUACUUUUGACCAGUGGCUAUAAAAAGACUAAGGGCCAGGGCUUGGUUUCUUCUAAGCUAACAUAUGGAAUUGUUUUAAGAUGGUCAUACCAAGGAUCAUUUAGCGAUUUGAUUUGGAAUUAUAUGACCCCUGUAGGUACAAUAUUUAAUGAAACAUUGAAUUUGGCCUUAUUCCUAUUAGCCCAUAGAAACGUAUUGAAUAACAUAUUCAUACAUGGCAAAACAGAUAGUCAAAACAUUUAUUGAAAUAAAGUAUAUUUGGGCCUCUCGAGAGGCGCAGAGGUCAAUGGCACUGCAUUGCAGGGCUAGAGGCAUCACUACAGACCCAGGUUCAAUCCCGGGCUGUAUCACAACUGGCUGUGAUCGAGGGUCCCAUAGGGUGGUGCACAAUUGGUCCAGCAUCAUCUGGGUUAGGGGAGGGUUUGGCCGGGGGGGCUUUACUUGGCUCAUCGCGCUCUAAGGACUCCUUGUGGCGGGCCGGGCGCCUGCAGGCUGACCAUGGUCAUCAGGUGAACAGUGUUUCCUGACACAUUGGUGCGGCUGGCGAGCGGGUGUUAAGAAGCGCGGUUUGGCAGGUCGGAGGACGCGUGAUUCGACCUUCACCCCCCCCGAGCCCUUUGGGGAGUUCCAGCGAUGAGACAAGAUUUACAUUUGGGAGAAAAAAGGGGGUAAAAUACAAAAAAAUUAAGUCUAUUUUGCAGUGUCUGUCCUAUAGCUCAGGGUUAUUAUGAUCUGUUUCUAUCCAUUUUUAACCACUUUUUUGGCACUAAAGUACUUCCAUGCUUCCAUAAUUUUUUUUAAACUGGUACUGGGUUACCUUUAGGCAAGUUUUGUGAGGCUUGUGGGCAUCGUAGAGCCCAAACCGUUCAGACACUACAGAUGUUUUCAUGAUGUCUCCUGGUCUGACAAACAUCGCUGUACCUCUGCCACCUUCCACCGCAGAUGGGGAAGGCCGACAUGAACAGAUAUAUCUAGUUUAAAUAGACAGAUUUUGAUUGGGAUUUUUGUUAUUAUGCUAAUUACAUUUCUGCGUGGGCGGUUAAAAACAGGCUUUAAAACAUUGAUAAGAGGGAGGUUGAAGUGUCUGUGUGUGUGCCUGUGUCACCGACUAGCUAUCCCUAGUGAUUAAUCCCAUCAGUGGCCUCCUACCUUUCAGCCCCAUGGUGCAGCAGGUUAGGGUAUGGCUCACCGUGGGAUCAGAUGGAUCAGUGGGUUAAACGCUCAUCUCAGAUUUCUGCUUGGUGCUGGAACAUCAAUAUUGAUGUCCCACAGUGGCACACCUGUCCAUGUCACAGCGCCCCACCUGUCCAUGUCACAGCGCCCCACCGGUCCAUGUCACAGCAUCACACCUGUCCAUGUGGAUGCCUCAAAGGGACAGCCCUGUAGCAUGGUCAGUUUUCACUGCUGUCACAGCCUGACUGCACCCUGCACCUGAUCUGCCAGCCACAGGGUCCAGACCUAACCAGUUACCACAGACCUCCACUAGGCUCUAUGGCCUUUAUAACGGUGAAGGUUUAUCCCUGCCUUUUUAGUUGACAUUGUCCUAAAUCUGAGGAGACAAAACUUCAGAGCAGGGAUUCACUUUUGACAGGUUAAGAUAACUGAGAUAUUACUUUUUUUUUGAGCUACAUGUCCCUACAAAGUAAGAAUAGAGGUUAUCAAUAUUUUUCAGAGUACUUCAAUUGAAAAUUCUCACAAUUAUUGCCAGAUAGAACUAUAUGUUAGAGGUGGUGUGACGAGGUGUAUAGUUUGAGGAGGGUCUGUGUGUUCAAGUUUUGUAACAGAGUCUUUUUUAUUUAAUUGUAUUUAAUUCAAGUCCAUGCUCCCCAAAUGGCACCACACAGCUAAGGAACAGGGACCAGACUUCAGUAUGUCUGAUGAGUAAGCUGCAGCUACAGCAGGCUGUGGUGUUAGUGGGUCAGGUGGUCAGCCUGAGGUGGUCUUAGUGGGUCAGGUGAUCAGCCUGAGGUGGUGUUAGUGGGUCAGGUGAUCAGCCUGAGGUGGUGUUAGUGGGUCAGGUGAUCAGCCUGAGGUGGUGUUAGUGGGUCAGGUGGUCAGCCUAAGGUGGUGUUAGUGGGUCAGGUGGUCAGCCUGAGGUGGUGUUAGUGGGUCAGGUGAUCAGCCUGAGGUGUUGUUAGUGGGUCAGGUGAUCAGCCUGAGGUGGUGUUAGUGGGUCAGGUGGUCAGCCUGAGGUGGUGUUAGUGGGUCAGGUGGUCAGCCUGAGGUGGUGUUAGUGGGUCAGGUGAUCAGCCUGAGGUGGUGUUAGUAGGUCAGGUGGUCAGCCUGAGGUGGUGUUAGUAGGUCAGGUGGUCAGCCUGAGGUGGUGUUAGUGGUUCAGGUGAUCAGCCUGAGGUGGUGUUAGUGGGUCAGGUGAUCAGCCUGAGGUGGUGUUAGUGGGUCAGGUGGUCAGCCUGAGGUGGUGUUAGUGGGUCAGGUGGUCAGCCUGAGGUGGUGUUAGUGGGUCAGGUGAUCAGCUACCUAUCAUUCUUUAUUCAUUAGUCUGGUUCUACCCCAGAACACAGUGUGUCUGAGGUCCCACUUGAGUCCCCCUGCACAUUUGAAGGAUUCCCUUAUCCUACCCUUACCUUUCGGCACACCUCCUCAUAUUAAAUCCUCUGGUGUGGCCUGGGUGGUCUAGGGGUCAGUGCCACCACAUAUAGCAAACAAAGACCAGCAUCAACAUGGGUUCAAAUCCCCCACUUCCUAUGUGACGCACUGUCUCCUCCAUUAAACUCAUACUUUCUAUGACGCACUGUCUCCUCCAUUAAACUCAUACUAUCUAUGUGAUGCGCUGUCUCCUCCAUUAAACUCAUACUUUCUAUGAUGCACUGUCUCCUCCAUUAAACUCAUACUGUCUAUGUGACGCGCUGUCUCCUCCAUUAAAAAAUCAUAUUGUCUAUGUGACGUGCAGUCUCCUCCAUUAAACUCACACUGUCUAUGUGACGCGCUGUCUCCUCCAUUAAACUCAUACUUUCUAUGACGCACUGUCUCCUCCAUUAAAAAAUUCAUACUUCCUAUGUGACGCACUGUCUCCUCCAUUAAACUCAUACUGUCUAUGUGACGCACUGUCUCCUCCAUUAAACCCAUACUGUCUAUGUGACGCACUGUCUCCUCCAUUAAACCCAUACUGUCUAUGUGACGCACUGUCUCCUCCAUUAAAAAAUCAUAUUGUCUAUGUGACUUGCGGUCUCCUCCAUUAAACUCACACUGUCUAUGUGACGCGCUGUCUCCUCCAUUAAACUCAUACUUUCUAUGACGCACUGUCUCCUCCAUUAAACUCAUACUGUCUAUGUGACGUGCGGUCUCCUCCAUUAAAAAACUCAUACUUUCUAAUAACCCCUUUUACUGGUCAGGACGUGACAACUGUCUAUGUGACGUGCGGUCUCCUCCAUUAAAAAAUUGCAUUGUCCCCACAAUAAGUUGGAGAAGUUGAAAUAAAACCAUUUAUUUCAGUGAGGCAAAGGACCACCUGUCAUAGUGGAUUUAUAGUGACUGUAAACAGGCUAAGUUGUAUCAACAGUGUAAUGUAAACUACAGGGUUUUACUGAGUCUAAGGCUCUCAGGACACGGGCUGUUUCAGAAAUGGCAGCCUAUUCCCUAUGUUGUGCACGUAUUUUGACCUGGGCCCUGGUCAACAGUAAUGCACUACAUUGGGAACAGGGUACCAUUUCAGACUCAACCCUGGUUGCUCUGGUUGUUCUCACACACACACACACACACACACACACACACACACACACACACACACACACACACACACACACACACACACACACACACACACACACACUUAAAGUAGCAACCACGUAGUAGACCUUGUCUGGUACCUGCUAGUGGUGAAGGAGAACAGGCUACAGAGGUAGACAGGGAGUUUACCCAGAAGGGCAGAAGGAAGUACCAACAGAAGGAGGUGCCAACAGAAGGAAUUACCAACAGAAGGAAGUACCAACAGAAGGAAGU
rnacentral:lncRNA from 1 species